ACCUGUGGAUUCACUCUGGGACAAUUGAUGCUUUGAUGAAAUAGGGGGAAAUUAUAUAAAAAUACAACUCAAGGGAUAUUAAAUAGCAAAAUUUGUUUCUGGCAUCCAGGGUUAUUUGGCAAAGAAAGAGCAAACAAGUGACUGUUUUUCAUGCCUUUCAUAUGAUGACAAACCUAUUCUAUUCUGCUUUGCACUUAAAAUUUACAUUGAAAAUGCAAUUGAACCUUUGGUUUAGUAGUUCAGUACGCUACAGGUAACCAGGGAGCAAUGUUCAGUAAAUACCGUGCUA
rnacentral:lncRNA from 1 species